GACGAACGCUGGCGGCGCGCUUAACACAUGCAAGUCGAGCGAAGCGGCGGACGGGUGAGUAACACGUGAGUAACCUGCCUUAGACAUUGGGACAGUCUCGGGAAACCGGGAUUAAUACCAAAUGGUCUAAGAUGGACUCGCGUCCCAUUAGCUAGCUGGUGAGGUAACGGCCCACCAAGGCGACGAUGGGUAGCCGGCCUGAGAGGGUGAACGGCCACAUUGGAACUGAGAAGCAGUCCAAACUCUACGGGAGGCAGCAGUGGGGAAUAUUGCACAAUGGAGGGAACUCUGAUGCAGCGACGCCGCGUGAGCGAAGAAGGCUUUCGAGUCGUAAAGUUCUUUUAUAUGGGAAGCGGUACCAUAAGAAAAAGCCCCGGCUAACUACGUGCCAGCAGCCGCGGUAAUUC
rnacentral:rRNA from 1 species